UUGUAAUGUUUUAGUUAAUUAUAAGUUAAUCCAACCUACUUCAAUAUUUUGUUCAUGAACCAAUUAAAUACUCACCCUGAACAAAUAAUAUGUUAUGAAAUUGAGUAACCAAAUAACAAAGAACCUUAGCGGGUUAACUAUUUUUUAUUACUACUUUUUAUUCAACAGUUUCUAGACAGUUUUGUUGUAGGUGUCGAUGGUUGAUGAACCCUUUCAAAUGAUAAUGUUUAUUAUUAACAUCAUCAUUAUUAUUAUCUUUAUUGCAUUACCACAGUUCUGUUAAUGGUUCAUGAUACAUUUAACCUGUUAAUUUGAAUCUUGAGUUGAGUCUAAUCGUAAACAUUAGACAUUUUCUCACCGUUAAAAUAAUUGAAAUCAAUUUGGACAAUAAACAAAGCAUGAUGUCCAUCAAUAGUCAAGUUCACCAGGAAAAUAAGAUCACCAGUGAUUACUCAAAGGCUACAAUAGAUACACAAUAAAACCGGUCAUUAUAAUCAUUACCAUUACCAUUAUCAUCAUCAUCAACAUCAUUUCCACUUUAUUGUUCAAUCAGGUCAAUUCUCACGUCUACCAGCCAAUUAAGCAGCACUUCUACUUUACAAUUAACAUCCCGCAAGAUACAGUAAUGUACAAGUUCAUGUUCAACUUAAAACCUGAUCAUGAAAUGACAAUGGUUAAAUCCAUCAAUUAACUAGCUGAUUAACACAGUAGUUGGCAAACCGUUCCAAUACAUUAUCAACUGUAAACAUGACAACCUUUCACUGAAAUCAUCAGCUAAUAAGCAAAUCAGCUAUUGUUGGUGAGCUAAAUUUUUCCUGUGGAAGGUCAAUCGAGUUGAAGAUAAGCUUAAUUUGUUCCAUUGCAAUCUCUGGAUUAGAUGGAACGUAAACAAGUCCAGUUGAUCCAGUUUCCAGAGCAAUUGUUUU